CGCGGGGUGGAGCAGUUCGGUAGCUCGUCGGGCUCAUAACCCGAAGGUCGCAGGUUCAAAUCCUGCCUCCGCAA
rnacentral:tRNA from 5 species